CUGAAAAAUCCAAAACAGUUUUCUUUGGGUUGUGCGAGCUGUGUUUGACAAGGUAACCCGUGGCAGGAGGGAAAACUGUGAUUGAAGAGUUCACCGUUGGACCAGUAGGUACACUCAUCCAGUAUGCAGUAGGUGGCGCUGUGCCCACCAGGCCAAGUUUCUCCUGUCAAUACGCGGAAACCAAUCACUGUGCAGCAGCUCCUCCUCUCAGUCUGGGAGGCAAGACAUGAAAUCCUGGAGAGGCGUGAGUUCUUUGCCAACACCCAGCAGAGCCUGAGAUGGUGCUUGCCAAGUACAAAGUUUAAAUUUUAGUUUGGACUGUGGACUUGUUUCUUGUAUAUAAAGCUUCCCGCUUUCAGUGUUGACUUUGGGAAUCACAUGAAGAUUUCAGGUUUCUCCUCUGCCAUUUCCAGAUGUUCAUUUCCUUAGAAUUAAUGAGAGUAUAUUUCCUGUGUGUCAUAGGAGUUUCCUUUCCAUCUUCCUUUUUUCUUGAAGUGGAAUAUUAGACUCUGACCUCCUGUUCUUUAGCAAGUCCUUCGUCUUCUCUGGACAGUCUCUAUGGGACAAAGGUAUUUACUCCUUAUUAGCUCAGAUUUUAACAGGACUUAAAGAAGAAAGACCUUCCUGUUGGAGGAGUGUCCUGUUUGGUACCAAAAAGGACACACACUGAUCGACAAUGAAAAACAAACAGAGUGGUUUGUGUUAGCUCUGCAUUAAUAACUUUGAAACCUUGGGAAAUGCACUAAAUUUCUUCUAGGUUAUUCAUCUAUAUAGUGUGAUUAGUUAAACUGAAUUUUAGUCAGGAUAGGCUUGUUUUUGCUUUGGUAACAAAGAUGCCCCAAAUUUCAGUUAUAUAAAGAAACAAGGGUUUUCAAAUGUCCAUGGUGGAUUGGAGGUUCUUAGACCUGGGUAGAUACUUAAGGACUCAGGCUCAGUACCUUGUCAAAUGCUGCCCAAAGCAACCAACACCUCCUACAAACUUAUUAAGAUCUUGAGUUAACUGAAUAUGCAAUAUGCUUUCAGUUAGUUUCAGGUAAGUAUUUCCUAAAUAUUUUGCCAUUGAAAAACACAGGCUGCCAUCCUUUAGGCCUCAACAAACAGUUUUUUCACCUGACACUGCUUGGUUCCUAAACUAAUAACAUAUCUUUAUUUAUAUAUAAUAAUUUCUAUAUAUGCCCAUAAGUAUGGAUUAUGCUAUGAUGCCAUAUAACUUCCAUAAAUAAUUUCUUAAAAAUCGUGAAAAAUAUUUCUCACUGAAGACAUAUCCCAUUAGGGUUGGUUGGAUGUUUAUUCAUUUCAGUCAUCCAGGGUCUAACUUCAACAAAGUUUAUCCACCACAUCUAAGAUUCUUGAUUUCUAUUCCAAAGAACUAAGAAGACCAUCGAGGGUUUCACAGCAGCAUAGGUCCCUUCUACUCAGACCUCAAUGCCAAGAAAAAGGGCACACAUUCCCCCUAAAAGGACUUAACUUUGUGCCCAGAAAGGAGAAACUUAUAAAAAAAUUUGAUGAAAAGGACUGAUGACUAUCAGAAGCUAGGUAAACUUUAUCUCCCUUUCAGUCAUAUUAUUUCUAUGACAUAUCAUGGCAUAUUACAUUAUGAUAUUGCAUUUUGUGAUAUUUAUGAUAUUCAAUGAUAUUAUUCUAUUACUUUAUUAUUCUAUGGUUCAAAGAAGUCUUUGGGCCCUCACCCUAAGCCACUUCUGUGAUAAUCAUUAUGUAUGUAAGAGGUAGUUUAAUACCUAAAGAAAUAUCCCUGGAUCUGUAUAAAUUUCAGUGCCUAUGAAUAUAUAUCUAUCCAUAACACUAGGAGAAAGUAUAUAAACGACAUUCAGCUCACACCUCCUAAGCUACUGUGCCAUGAUUUUUCUGGGACGAACAUAGUCAAUUCUAGAAAAGUCUCAAAUCAGGGUUGGAAAAAAGACACAGCCCUCUCAGCUGUUCUCAUCCAGUGUGUGGGUUGGCAUUGACAGCACUGAAUUUGUUGGCAGCCAACUUACCCCCAUUUCCCGGCUGUUCUGAAGGACUUGCUGUGACAGCAGUCAUGAACAGAGGCAUCCUUGUUUGGUGAGGUUGUAUAGUAUUUUAAGCACACUGAUUGAUGUUUAGCCUAGAAACCACUGUAGCUUGGUUGCAUAAAAGUUGCUAAGCCCAUAUAUUGACACAAAAUAUGGCUUGUAUAAUGGCCAGAGAGACAUAUUUUCCAGUUCUGUCAUCUCUUUGUCCUUUCCUUACAGGAAGUAAGGGAAAAUAGAUAUGCUCUGUUGUGAUUGUCUGUGCAAAUGUUAUAGUUAUUAAGACUUCAGGUUAAAAAAAAAAAAAAAGAAAAUUUCUUCCCCAAUAUGUGACCUACAGCCUGCAGACAAAAUAACAGAGACAGUAUCUUUUAUCAGGAACAAGUAUAGCUUCAUUCUGGGGAAAGGAAUGAUGGGAUUAUAUGAAAUUUAACUAGCUCCCAACAUAUAAUUAUGUCCUAUAGAAGUUUAAGCUUCUAGAUGAGAAGUUCUAGAGUCAUCUUUGGCAGCUGUGUCUGCAGCCUUUCAGCUGUAGGACUUCAUGCAGUUAUUUAAUCUCUCUGUGCUUGUGUCCUCAUAAGUGGAUACAUUACCAUAUGUAAAUCCCUUGGUCCAUAGUAGGAAGUGUGCAACCUCGUGGGCUCAGAAACCAGUAGAGACUGAUGAAUAUACAAUCUACUGUAAUUUUACCUCUAAGUAGUGGACAGAAGGAAAAUUCUUCAAGGCCUUCAUGAAUUUAAGGAUGCUCUUGGAAAGGAUAGUACUAAGCAGUUCCCCCUGUUCUACCAGGGCUUCCUGCAAAAGUUUGAGUUCAAAAAGUCUUGUUUGCUUCUGUGUUUUGAAACUCAGAAGAUUUGUUCACAAAGACUCAAGUUCAGAAUUUUCUGCAUCCCGGAACAUUAUGAAACAUGGAAGCCACGUUUUGGAGACUUGAUUCAAUCUAUUCCUCUCAAUCCUUUUUAGGAGAAAAGAAUUUUCCCUCACUGAAAAGUUGCCAGCAACAGUAACACAACUCUUCAUAACUUGGAAUGCCAUCUUCAACUACCUAGUCACAUUGGACUGUGUUGGAGAUAGUCUCAUUCAACAUAUAUUCAGUUAUUCUAUUCCUAGAAAUGACCACAGAAAUCCCAGGAGAAGAGAAGGAUGUAAAGAACAAUUUGAACUUAAAAUCAAAUCGAUUACUUUUUUUUUUUUCUUUUUAGAAAUUUGGAAAAGAUGUAGAAUUCUAUGUGGACAUCUUAUAUGGGGGUGUAGAUUUGGCAGCGGCAAUAACAGUGUCAUAACUGAGAAGGAGGUUUGUUUCACUUUCCUGUGCAAGUCUAAACUAUAUAGUAGCUCCCUCCCUGCAAACCAGCUCCCCGAAAUUCCGAUCCUCCAUCUCUGGGAUGUUACUCUCAUCACUAGGGUACUAAACGACUUCCCCCAAUUCCACAUUCCAUAAAGCAGGAAUGUUAUUUCAGAAAAGUAUAGCACAAAUUACUGAAAUGUAAAGUGCAAAAAUACUAGAACAUGAUUAAUUUUAACUUAUGAUGUAGCCAGUUUUUAAUUGAGUGCUUCUAAAACAAAUCUCAUUUUAGUUUUGUGCCCGCACCAUCUUUCUUGCAUUUAGCUGGGGAUGUGUUUACUUUCUAACUGGAAGAAGGAUCCAUUCCUAAUUCUUCUGGAUUUAAAGCAGGACUGUUUCCUCCAUCUCAAGGACAAAUCUCUCUCUCUUUCAACUCCAUUCCCUGGGGAGGGGCGCAGGUUCACAUCUGGAAACCCCAUCAUGUUCCUCCCAUCACUGUGACGUCACUCUUGUGUGCUUUCAAUUUCCUCCACCCCUCUUAGGUACAGAACAGAUGCUUAUGAUACAGCAUGGAACCUUUACUCCCCCUUUUUUGGUGCUAUCUUUAAAUAUACGAGGAAAGCAUUUUGGAGAUUAUAUCAAGAAGGUUCAAAUUCCCAAACUUACUCAGUAACUUCCCAAAUUACCAAGUCACCUUUUAUCCUGAAGUUCUAGAAAGGAAAGCUUAGAGAGAUUUGGUGAAGAAAUUUGUUUUUUUUUUUCAAAGAUGUUCUAACUUAUCCUUUAAUGAUAAUCUGCAAAAGACUUUCAUGUUUUUUGGAUUAGAACCCCUGGAGUCAGAAACAUUGUCCCACAGGUGUAAGCAUUUGAUGUUUUCAUAAGUGCAAUGUACAACUUCAUACAUGGUGGAACACUUGCUUCACAACAUGGAGAUUAGUGACAAUGGCUUUGCUAAAGAAACUCUUCUCAGAAAAAAAAAUGUGUCUGUUGAUUCCUAAUGAGGAAAUCCCCAAAUGUCAAGUUGAUAGUUUCCAGAUGUAGAAGGGAUAUGAAGAGGCUUUGAGGAAAUUUGAACAAGUACAGAAAUCUACAUAAAGCAACAAUGACUUUUGGUAAAAGGAAAUAGAUCCAGGGAACAUGGUGGUGGUAUUGGCUCUGAUUGGUUUUUGGGAAGCAUGUGGGCUGGGUGGGAAAAGUGCUGGAAAUUUCCCAGAGUUCCUGUGGUAGGCUCCAGCUUGACUGCUCAUCUCAGCUCUUCCUGUGAUAUACUUGAGAAGGUUGCUGACAGGGAGAGCACGUGGAUGAGUACAAAUUGUUUUCCUUUGCUCAUGAUUAUACUUAGCUCCUAAUCAGGAAGAGGCUGAAUAUCUUUAAGAAAAUCUAAAAGACUUGAUUGUAUGUCCCUGUCAUCAGAAAAUAGAAUUUAGAAAAGGUGACUGCAGAUUAUAUUUCAUUUUCAUUACAGUAACUCUCUACCUUUUCCCAAUCUUCUUGAUGUCCUUAAUUUAUUAUUUUCUCCCCCCAGAUAGGCUGUGCAUGCAUCAUAGUAAAGUAGCCAAAGGAGCUACUUCUAAACUACACUUGGAGUCAGAAAACUAGUGGCGUGUGAUUGGAACAGAUCACCUAACUUACAUCCACCAUAAUUUUCAAAUCUAUAAAACAAGAAUUAUGACCCAUACCUAAUUCUCAGGCAUGCUGUGAGCAUCAAGUGUGAUUAUGAAAGUAUUUUGUAAAUUAAAAAGGGAUAAACAAAUAUUGGUUGUUAAUUGUCUUAAUUUUGUCUUGGAGGAAAAGAAUUGAUAUUGAAUUGUGAAUUUCUUGGAUGAUUUGAAGAUGCAGAAAUAAAACUACCAAAAAAGGAUCAAUGUCCCAAAUUUCUCUAAUUGUUAGCAGGACAAAAUAUAUCUUCAGGAAGAUAUCCAGUGUACUUUGAUGCACAAACAAACCACCUGCAGCUUUUGUGUUUUGUUUUGUUUUUCCCAAAUGCAAAAUCGAUUUGAAUGGAAUCUGAGAUUCUGGUUUCUAGAAGCUUCCAGGUGAUGUCUAUACUGCUGGUCCACAGACUGCACAAGGGGUUGCAAUGAAUGAAGGAGAUUGGGGUGAAAGCAAAAGUUAACACAGAUGAAGAGUGUGAUAAAGACAGAGACUUCCUGUCUGCUGUUCCUUCAUCCUGGUACAUACUGGCAAAGUGACCUAUGGGAUAAAUAAAAUGGAAAAAAAAUAAGUAAAAAUAAAUAAAAUGGAAAAAAAAGAAUUCUUUCUGUUAAAA